rnacentral:rRNA from 1 species
AUUGAACGCUGGCGGCAUGCCUUACACAUGCAAGUCGAACGGCAGCACGGGAGCUUGCUCCUGGUGGCGAGUGGCGAACGGGUGAGUAAUACAUCGGAACGUACCCUGAAGUGGGGGAUAACGUAGCGAAAGUUACGCUAAUACCGCAUAUUCUGUGAGCAGGAAAGAGGGGGAUCGCAAGACCUCUUGCUUUAGGAGCGGCCGAUGUCGGAUUAGCUAGUUGGUGAGGUAAAGGCUCACCAAGGCGACGAUCCGUAGCGGGUCUGAGAGGAUGAUCCGCCACACUGGGACUGAGACACGGCCCAGACUCCUACGGGAGGCAGCAGUGGGGAAUUUUUGGACAAUGGGCGCAAGCCUGAUCCAGCCAUGCCGCGUGAGUGAAGAAGGCCUUCGGGUUGUAAAG